GACGGUACCGGACUAAGAAGCACCGGCUAACUACGUGCCAGCAGCCGCGGUAAUACGUAGGGUGCGAGCGUUAAUCGGAAUUACUGGGCGUAAAGCGUGCGCAGGCGGUUUUGUAAGACAGAUGUGAAAUCCCCGGGCUUAACCUGGGAACUGCGUUUGUGACUGCAAGGCUAGAGUACGGCAGAGGGGGGUGGAAUUCCUGGUGUAGCAGUGAAAUGCGUAGAGAUCAGGAGGAACACCGAUGGCGAAGGCAGCCCCCUGGGCCUGUACUGACGCUCAUGCACGAAAGCGUGGGGAGCAAACAGGAUUAGAUACCCUGGUAGUCCACGCCCUAAACGAUGUCGACUAGUCGUUCGGAGCAGCAAUGCACUGAGUGACGCAGCUAACGCGUGAAGUCGACCGCCUGGGGAGUACGGCCGC
rnacentral:rRNA from 1 species